GGUGCUAGUAGAUAGGUGUUGCGGCUUUUUGGCAACGUCGCUUGUUUGGUGAUAUCGGUGCCACGAGAAAUGCUCGCAGGAAUUUCACAUCUUCACGUGCUCGACUGAAAGAGAACCUUCGACCGCGCCGCAAAAGUUGUUCGACCCACUGUGCCGGCAGGAAGCGGCAAAUCGUUCGCCGGCGCGAUGUCGGAAACAACACACCCUCCGCCGUCUGAUGCCCUCGACUGGGGCGAAUCGGCGAACUCGGGCGCAAACUCUGACGCAACUCCGCAGUCUGCUGCUGCUGUCGUUGAAGACGGCAGUAAAGAUGAGUCGGCGCCGAUGGAAACAGUGGCUCUAGAAACGACUGACAUCUACUCGGAGGACUCUGACCCAGGCAAGGAGACAGACCUGAAGCGGUACUUCAGCAACACGCCAACAGAUGUGGCCGCCUGCUCGUUCUUCGAUUCGCUGGCCGUGAGCACCUCGCCCAUGAUGAAGAGCGUCUCAGAGGUGAACAUGGCACAGAAGGCAGCCCUGGAGGACGUAGUUCCGGAAGCACCGAUUAUUACUGAGAAACCGCCUGAGGAGUCAUCCGUGUACUUCUCUCUCGGCGAUAGCACAGCCCAGGAACCCGAGAUCGCCGUCAUUGCGCAGGAAGCCGUCGAAGGCCCAACGCCCUCUUAUUCUAUGCCCAUGCAAGAGCCUGUUGUUGUGGAGUCGGGCGAGAACCAUAAUGCCUCGCUGAGCGUCAGUGAAGAAGGACCUUCGUUGAGCAAGUUCUUCUCGAGCGACUGCAGCGGUGGCGAUCAGGAGGGAAAAGCGUUCUUCGAUGUCCUCGCCGCUGGCAUAGCAGGCGUCGAGCAGUCCGGAAGGUCGUCAGGCAGUGCCAGCCCCAUUUCUCUGGUACAGGAGCCCUGCCUGAUGACUGAGCCCAUGGAGGAUGGUGACAUCUGUGCUUACGACAGCUGGCUGCCGUCGGCUGUGACUAGAGACUUCCUGGCCCGACUAGCGACGUCCGAGCCGGGUACCGUUAUCCCGGAGCGCGAACAACUCACCAUGCCUGGCGUCAUAAUUGACGAGUGCCAGGGAGAUACGGUCCGGGGGUUGCUUCAGGAGCACAUCAUCGAUGAGGCAGGCACUCGGCGGACACUGACGGUCGACGAUGUGCCGCAGAAUGAAGAUGGACUGAAGCAGUUGAUUGGGGCGCAGUGUCACAACGCGGCCAUCAACCUGACGACCAGGCUGCUGACCAGCGUGGGCCAAGGUCCCGGAGCCGGAGGUCAUCCGUCUAGGCACAGCCCUCACUCUCUCCAGUUGUGGUACACGCGACUAGCACUCUUCGUGAAACUGCGCAAGUUUGCCUACGCAGAGGUUGAGGGUGAUGCCUUUGGGGACCUGGACAAACCAGACCUGUUUUACGAAUUCUAUCCGGACACCUACCCAGACAAGCGAGGUUCGAUGGUGCCGUUCGCCAUGCGCCUUCUGCUGGCUGAGUUGCCGCAGUUCCAGGGGAACCACUGCACGGCUCUCAAUUCUCUCUACAAGCUACUCAACGUCGUGCACAGGAUUCUUGGAAACUUGACGAACGGCAUAUCUGAGGACGGCAGCCUGCUGGAUAUGAGCGAACAGUUGAGACAAGCCUCCAUGAAACUGUGGGAAGACCGCGAAUGCCGAGUCUACUUUGCCAUCCUCAACUGCGUUCUCAACCAGAAGGAUUAUGUAGUAGCCAUCAAAGUGGCAAGGAUCUUGCUUGAAAAGAACAGCGGACGUAAAGCACAGCUGCAUUCGGCCAUGGGAAGGAUAUACCUCCAGCUUGGAGAUGUGGAAACCGCGCAAAGCCACUUUCAUAAAGCCGAGGCCCUGUACCACGGCAUGGCACUAGAGGGAAGGCUCGAAAUCCUUAUCAACAAAGGGACAAUGGCCUUGGCUCUGAACAGCUAUGCAGAGGCUUAUCGCUUCUAUGAGGAGGCCAGCAAGCUGCAGCCAAAAAAUCCGUUGUUCAUCAACAACAUGGCGGUCUGCCUCCUCUACCUGGGCCGACUGAGCGAGUCCGUCCAGCUGCUCGAGUCGACCAUGCAGGGUGACCCCGCGCUCUGCUUGCACGAGGGCUACCUCUUCAACGUCUGCACCCUCUACGAGCUGCAGUCCUCCGAGGCGGUCACGAAGAAGCGCAGCAUGUUGAGACUCGUUGCCAAGCACGCGGGCGACAGCUUCAACGUGGCUUCACUCAAGCUUCAGCCGGCCAAGACGUGACGCUGACUGGGCAGCACGCUGUUGUAGAGAAUCACGCUGCACAACGGCCACGAAAACGACAACGCUCUACUGUAAGUGGGGUUGUCAUUCUAAGCGUCGACGUCAAUGGACUUUCCGAGACUCCCGCAUACUUUCGUUAAGUGCUACGUCCCCUCGAUAAGUGUGGUUAAUGGUGUGCAUUCUAAUGAGUGAUAGCAUUGCUUCUCUGGCGGAUGCAAGGUAUCAGCCAUGUUCAAAUGGUUAUACUAAUUGAAGCGUUGUGAUACAUGUCAAAGAAUUAGGGUUACUGACAACCUAGGAACCGAAAGUAAAAAGCACAACGAUAUCAAAGAAAGUUCAGUUGGAGUCAAGAAUGUAGCAACACAAUGUUCAUAUUGUCUAUUGCACUUGAACAUUCUUUGUGUCUUGCCCUGAAGGCCAAAUUUUUAUGUUCUUUUACCUGCAUUAAGACUGCAUACUGUCUUUAAACUUUUCUUUAAAUUCUUGUCACAACAAUCUUUGAAUGUGAAUCUUGUUACCGGACGUUCAGCUUUGUGAAUGAGCCAAAAUCAGCUGGCAUAUUGGUAUCCUGCAAACUUGCGCUGUGAAUAAGCAGCUGUGUUCCGUUGUCUGUGGUGAUCAUAUUGCAAACUGAUGCUGGAAAAUAUUGCCUGUCAGUCCAAUGCGGGCACAUAGCUUUGUUUAGAGCAAUUGCCUACAUUAAGGAAUCGACGUGAAACCGCAAGUUGUGCUCAGAUCUGGUGCAGACUCAUCGUCACAUUUCACAGGUACUGCAGAAGCAUACGAGUAUGCGCCAUAAAAUCCAACAGAAUCUGUAGAAAGGUAUUGUGUUUUGGAUCACUAAGAAGUUGAAGUUGAAGUUUAUUCAAUAAACUUCAACUUCAACAUAUAGAUAACAUAAUACUAUAGUACUAGUAGUGCUGCUUGAGCUGUCAUGUAAAUUUUUUUCAUAAUCCACCUAGAGCUGUAGAGCAUUAUUAUCUCCCUGCUUUGAAAGAGCAUAUUGUCACUCAAACUAGCAAUGUCAGCAAUACUAGCAGCAUUUAUACCAUGCUUUCAUUACAUGAGCACAAUUUGCCUGCAUAGGUUUCUAGCAUAGAACACUUAUCUUGAACAUCUCUCUCUGUCUUAUAUAAAGAAUGCAUUCGUUGGAAGUGUUUGACUCGGGAUAGGUUAACGAAUUGUUUAUAAACUUGUUUGCACAGGGAAGUAUUUUUAAAAACUGAGGUAUCUGUGAAAAGGCAGUUGUA
rnacentral:misc_RNA from 1 species